AGUGAACGCUGGCGGCGUGCUUAACACAUGCAAGUCGAACGAGAACGGAAUAUAGCUUGCUAUAUUUGUCAGCUAAGUGGCGCACGGGUGAGUAAUGUAUAGAUAACCUGCCCUUAAGAAAGGAAUAACAGUUGGAAACGACUGCUAAUGCCCUAUAUGCCUUUAAUACAUAAGUAUGCAAGGGAAACGCUUUAGUGCUUAAGGAUGGGUCUGUAUGGUAUCAGCUUGUUGGUGAGGUAAUGGCUCACCAAGGCUAUGACGCCUAACUGGUUUGAGAAGAUGGUCAGUCACACUAGAACUGAGACACGGUGCAGACUGCUACGAGAGGCAGCAGUGGGGAAGAUUGCUCAAUAGACGAGAGUCUGAUGCAGCAACACCGCUUGGAGGAUGACACAUUUCGGUGCGUAAACUCCUUUUAUAUAGGAAGAUAAUGACGGUACUAUAUGAAUAAGCACCGGCUAACUCCGUGCCAGCAGCCGCAGUAA
rnacentral:rRNA from 1 species